UGAGGAAUAUUGGUCAAUGGUCGGAAGACUGAACCAGCCAUGCCGCGUGCAGGAAGAAUGCCUUAUGGGUUGUAAACUGCUUUUAUAUGGGAAGAAUAAGGCGUACGUGUACGUUGAUGACGGUACCAUAUGAAUAAGCAUCGGCUAACUCCGUGCCAGCAGCCGCGGUAAUACGGAGGAUGCGAGCGUUAUUCGGAAUCAUUGGGUUUAAAGGGUCUGUAGGCGGGCUAUUAAGUCAGGGGUGAAAGGUUUCAGCUUAACUGAGAAAUUGCCUUUGAUACUGGUAGUCUUGAAUAUCUGUGAAGUUCUUGGAAUGUGUAGUGUAGCGGUGAAAUGCUUAGAUAUUACACAGAACACCGAUUGCGGAGGCAGGGGACUAACAGACGAUUGACGCUGAGAGACGAAAGCGUGGGGAGCGAACAGGAUUAGAUACCCUGGUAGUCCACGCUGUAAACGAUGGAUACUAGCUGUUUGGAGUAAUUUGAGUGGCUAAGCGAAAGUGAUAAGUAUCCCACCUGGGGAGUACGCACGCAAGUGUG
rnacentral:rRNA from 1 species